AGAGUUUGAUCCUGGCUCAGGACGAACGCUGGCGGCGUGCCUAAUACAUGCAAGUCGAACGCUUUUUCUUUCACCGGAGCUUGCUCCAUCGAAAGAAAAAGAGUGGCGAACGGGUGAGUAACACGUGGGUAACCUGCCCAUCAGAAGGGGAUAACACUUGGAAACAGGUGCUAAUACCGUAUAACACUAUUUUCCGCAUGGAAGAAAGUUGAAAGGCGCUUUUGCGUCACUGAUGGAUGGACCCGCGGUGCAUUAGCUAGUUGGUGAGGUAACGGCUCACCAAGGCAACGAUGCAUAGCCGACCUGAGAGGGUGAUCGGCCACACUGGGACUGAGACACGGCCCAGACUCCUACGGGAGGCAGCAGUAGGGAAUCUUCGGCAAUGGACGAAAGUCUGACCGAGCAACGCCGCGUGAGUGAAGAAGGUUUUCGGAUCGUAAAACUCUGUUGUUAGAGAAGAACAAGGAUGAGAGUAAAAUGUUCAUCCCUUGACGGUAUCUAACCAGAAAGCCACGGCUAACUACGUGCCAGCAGCCGCGGUAAUACGUAGGUGGCAAGCGUUGUCCGGAUUUAUUGGGCGUAAAGCGAGCGCAGGCGGUUUCUUAAGUCUGAUGUGAAAGCCCCCGGCUCAACCGGGGAGGGUCAUUGGAAACUGGGAGACUUGAGUGCAGAAGAGGAGAGUGGAAUUCCAUGUGUAGCGGUGAAAUGCGUAGAUAUAUGGAGGAACACCAGUGGCGAAGGCGGCUCUCUGGUCUGUAACUGACGCUGAGGCUCGAAAGCGUGGGGAGCGAACAGGAUUAGAUACCCUGGUAGUCCACGCCGUAAACG
rnacentral:rRNA from 1 species